CGCCUAUUGCCAGCUCUCACUCCGUCGCCUAGCAACGCGGAGUUCCAUUUCCCCCUACCAGCUAAUCCCGUCAGAGCGCUCUCCUCGGCUGUUUUUUCUCUCUCUCUAUGGUCGAGGGCUACUUCCGAUGACGCCAUUUCCUGUGGCUGUUUUGAGCGGAGGGGAGGAUAUUUAAGCAAGUAGGACACUGAGAGAGAGGGGCUUCGCGUGGCCCCUGAUGGACACCCCAAACCACCCCUCCCACCGACUCCCAGUCUGAUCCAGGGUAGGAUUGGAUGACAAGGUACAGAAGAAAGUCCCCAUCUUGAAACAAUCUUGGGAUUGCAGAACUGGAAGAGAUCAAGAGCAACUGCUCAACCUGUUCUGUGUCAUUGGAUCACUCACCCGCUGUUGGGGAAUAAACCUUUGAUUAUCCAUAACCUAAUCAGAGGAGAAAAUGAACAUACCAGUUGAUCAGAAACAUUUCUUGUCCAUACACUGUUCUGGUCCCCAAAUCCGGCAUGGUGUGCUUGCCCUGUGGAACCUAUUAGCAGGAUCUCCUGGCCAGAUGUUACCUUCAUCUGCAUGGACUUCUGAAAGUGAUCCUUCUUAGAGGAUCAGCAAUACAGUGAGUAUCAGUUCUUUAAUCAGCCUGGUUUUU
rnacentral:lncRNA from 1 species